rnacentral:rRNA from 1 species
GACGAACGCUGGCGGCGUGCUUAACACAUGCAAGUCGAGCGGUAAGGCCCUUUCGGGGUACGACGAGCGGCGAACGGGUGAGUAACACGUGGGUGACCUCGCCCUCCAGCUCUGGGAGUAAGCCGUCGGGAAACCGGGGUACUAAUACUGGAUAUGACUCCAUGACGCAUGUUGUGGGGUGGAAAGCCUUGUGCGGCUGAGGAUGGGCCCGCGGCCUAUCAGCUUGUUGGUGGGGU